GACUGCACUUGAAGAGACUUUCAAAGUUUUUGAAAUGUUCCAUAUUGACUGACCAUCGUGUCUUAAAGUAAUGAUGGACUGUCGUUUCUCUUUGCUUAUUUGAGCUGUAUAUACAGUUGAAGUCGGAAGUUUAUAUACACCUUAGCCGAAUACAUUUAAACUCAGUUUUUCACAAUUCCUGACAUUUAAUCCUAGUAGAAAUUCCCUGUCUAAGAUCAGUUAGGAUCACCACUUUAUUUUAAGAAUGUGAAAUGUCAGAAUAAUAGUAGAGAGAAUGAUUUACAUAAGUUUACAUACACUCAAUUAGUAUUUGGUAGCAUUGCCUUUAAAUUGUUUAACUUGGAUUAAACGUUUUGGGUAGCCUUUCACAAGUUUCCCAUAAUAAGUUGGGGGAAUUUUGGCCCAUUCCUCCUGACAGAGCGAGUGUAACUGAGUCAGGUUUGUAGGCCUCCUUGUUCGCACACGCGUUUUCAGUUCUGCCCACACAUUUUCUAUAGGAUUGAGGUCAGGGGUUGUGAUGGCCACUCCAAUACCUGGACUUUGUUGUCCUUAAGCCAUUUUGCCAUAACUUUGGAAGUAUGCUUGAGGUCAUUGUCUAUUUGGAAGACUCAUUUGCGACCAAGCUUUAACUUCCUGACUGAUGUCCUUGAGAUGUUGCUUCAAUAUAUCCACACAAUUUCCCCCUCCCCCCAUGAUGCCAUCUUUUUUUUGAAGUGCACCAGUCCAUCCUGUAGCAAAGCACCCCCACAACAUGAUGCUACCACCCCCGUGCUUCACGGUUGGGAUGGUGUUCUUCGGCUUGCAAGCCUCCCCCUUUUCCCUCCAAACAUAACGAUGGUCAUUAUUGCCAAACAGUUUCAUCAGACCAGAGGACAUUUUUCCCAAAAAAGCUGAAAUAUUACAUUUACAUAAGUAUUUAGACCCUUUACUCAGUACUUUGUUGAAGCACCUUCGGCAGCUAUUACAGCCCCAAACAGCAAUAAAUACAACUUUCAUUAAGUCUUCUUGGGUAUGAUUCUACAAGCUUGGCACACCUGUAUUUGGGGAGUUUCUCCCAUUCUUCUCUGCAGAUCCUCCCAAGCUCUGCCAGGUUGGACGGGGAGUGUCUUUGCACAGCUAUUUUCAGGUCUCUCCUGAGAUGUUGAUCAGGUCAAGUCUGGGCCCUGGCUGGGCCACUCAAGGACAUCCAGAGACUUGUCCCAAAGCCAGUCCUGCGUUGUCUCGGCUGUGUGAUUAGGGUCGUUGUCCUGUUGGAAGGUGAACCUUCACCCCAGUCUGGAGCAGGUUUUCAUCAAGGAUCUCUCUGUACUUUGCUUCGUUCAUAUUUCCCUUAAUCCCGACUAGUCUCCCAGUCCCUGCCACUGAAAAACAUCCCCACAGCAUGAUGCUGCCACCACCAUGCUUCACCGUAGGGAUGGUGCCUGGUUUCCUUUAGACGUGACGCUUGCAAUCAAGCCAGUCUUGGUUUCAUUAGACCAGAGAAUGUUGUUUCUCAUGGUCUGUGAGUCCUUUAGGUGCCUUUUAGCAAACUCCAAGCGGGCUGUCAUGUGCCUUUGACUGAGGAGGAGUUUCCAUCUGGCCACUCUAACAUAAAUGCCUUGAUGGUGGAGUGCUGCAGAGAUGAUUGUCCUUCUGGAAUGUUCUCACAUCUCCACAGAGGAACUCUGGAGCUCUCUCAGAGUGACCAUCGGGUUCUUGGUCACCUCCCUGACCAAGGCCCUUCUCCCCCGAUUGCUCAUUCUGGCCGGGCAACCAGCUCUCGGAAGAGUCUUGGUGGUUCCAAACUUCUUCCAUUUCAGAAUGAUGGAGGCCACUGUGUUCUUGGGGACAUUCAAUGCUGCAGAACUUUUCGUACCCUUCCCCAGAUCUGUGACUCGACAUAAUCCUGUCUCUCAGCUCUACAGACCACUCCUUCGACCUCAUGGCUUGGUCUUGGGUCUGAACUGUGGAACCUUAUGUAAACAGAUGUGUGCCUUUCCAAAUCAUGUCCAGUCAAUUGUAUUUACCACAGGUGGACUUCAAUCAAGUUGUAGAAACAUCUCAAGGAUGAUCAUUGGAAACAAGAUGCACUUAUGUCUUGUGUAAAUAAGCCUGAAUUCAAAGAGGAUUACGACUUCCCUGGAGCAGGUUCUUUGUUUGCUCCCCCCAGUGCAAUUGAACUUAUUCCAGAGGCUGACCCAAAACAACGCCGGUGGAGAAGAGGUACUCAGGGCGAUCUUUUGGUCCGACUUAGGAAGCGUGCACACCACCCACCGCUCCUGAGUAUUUUACUCGCUAAUGUCCAAUCUCUGGAUAAUAAAGUUGAUGAGCACAAGGCGAGAGUUGGAUUUUAACAUACUCUGCUUCACGGAAACAUGGCUCUCUCGAGAUAUACUGUCUGACUCUGUAAAGCCAGUUGGGUUCUCAGUACAUUGCGCCGACAGGAACAAACAUCUCUCCGGGAAGCAGAAUUUGGCUUAACGCCUAAAACUCUCACAAACCUUUACAGCUGCACAAUUGAGAGCAUCUUAUCGGGCUGUAUCACUUCCUGGUAUGGCAACUGCACCGCCCACAACCACAAAGCUCUCCAGAGGGUGGUGCGGUCUGCCCAACGCAUUACCGGGGCAAACUUCCCGCCCUCCUGGACACCUACAGCAUCCGAUGCCAUAGGAAGGCCAAAAAGAUAAUCAAGGACAUCAACCACCUGAGCCACUGCCUGUUCACCCCGCUAUCAUCCAGGAGGCGAGGUCAGUACAGGUGCAUCAAAGCUGGGACCGAGAGACUGAAAAACAGCUUCUAUCUCAAGGCCACCAGACUGCUAAACAGCCAUCACUAACACAUCAGAGUUGGCUGCCUAUAGACAUAGAUUAGGAAUCACUGGCCACUUUUAGAAAUGGAUCACUAGCCACUUUAAUAAUGUUUCUGUAUCUAGCAUUACUCAUCUCAUAUGUAUAAACUGCACUCAACACUAUUCUACAGGAUCUUAGUUACUUUUAAAUUGUGUUAACAUAUUGCUUCACACGUCUCAUAUGUAUAUACUGUAUUGUAUUCUAUACUACACAACUGACUGUUAAACAGCCAUCACUAGCACAUCAGAGGCUGCUGCCUAUAGACAUAGAUUAGGAAUCACUGGCCACUUUUAGAAAUGGAUCACUAAUCACUUUAAUAAUGUAUCUGUAUCUUGCAUUACUCAUCUCACAUGUAUUAACUGUACUCUAUACUGUUCUACGGUAUGUUAGUCACUUUAAUUUUGUGUAAAUAUUGCAUCACCCAUCUCAUAUGUAUAUACUAUAUUCUAUAAUACGCCACUGUAUCUUAGUCCAAUGCUGCUCUGACAUACUGUAUAUGUAUAUAUUCUUAAUCCAUUCCUUGCCUAGAUUUACGUGUAUUUUGGAAAUAUGUUGUGAAACUGUUUGAUAUUACUUGUUAGAUAUUACUGCACUGUCAGAGCUAGAAGCGCAAGCAUUUCUCUACACCCGCAAUAACAUCUGCUAAACACGUGUAUGUGACCAAUAAAUUGGAUUUGAUUUGAUUUGAAA